rnacentral:rRNA from 1 species
AGAGUUUGAUCCUGGCUCAGGACGAACGCUGGCGGCGUGCUUAACACAUGCAAGUCGAGCGAUGAAGCUUCCUUCGGGAAGUGGAUUAGCGGCGGACGGGUGAGUAACACGUGGGUAACCUGCCUCAAAGUGGGGGAUAGCCUUCCGAAAGGAAGAUUAAUACCGCAUAAUAUAAGAGAAUCGCAUGAUUUUCUUAUCAAAGAUUUAUUGCUUUGAGAUGGACCCGCGGCGCAUUAGCUAGUUGGUAAGGUAACGGCUUACCAAGGCAACGAUGCGUAGCCGACCUGAGAGGGUGAUCGGCCACAUUGGAACUGAGACACGGUCCAGACUCCUACGGGAGGCAGCAGUGGGGAAUAUUGCGCAAUGGGGGAAACCCUGACGCAGCAACGCCGCGUGGGUGAUGAAGGUCUUCGGAUUGUAAAGCCCUGUUUUCUAGGACGAUAAUGACGGUACUAGAGGAGGAAGCCACGGCUAACUACGUGCCAGCAGCCGCGGUAAUACGUAGGUGGCGAGCGUUGUCCGGAUUUACUGGGCGUAAAGGGUGCGUAGGCGGAUGUUUAAGUGGGAUGUGAAAUCCCCGGGCUUAACCUGGGGGCUGCAUUCCAAACUGGAUAUCUAGAGUGCAGGAGAGGAAAGCGGAAUUCCUAGUGUAGCGGUGAAAUGCGUAGAGAUUAGGAAGAACACCAGUGGCGAAGGCGGCUUUCUGGACUGUAACUGACGCUGAGGCACGAAAGCGUGGGUAGCAAACAGGAUUAGAUACCCUGGUAGUCCACGCCGUAAACGAUGGAUACUAGGUGUAGGGGGUAUCAACUCCCCCUGUGCCGCAGUUAACACAAUAAGUAUCCCGCCUGGGGAGUACGGUCGCAAGAUUAAAACUCCAAGGAAUUGACGGGGGGCCGCACAAGCAGCGGAGCAUGUGGUUUUUAAUUCAAAGCCACGCAAAAAACCUUACCUGGACUUGACAUCCCUUGCAUAGCCUAGAGAUAGGUGAAGCCCUUCGGGGCAAGGAGACAGGUGGUGCAUGGUUGUCGUCAGCUCGUGUCGUGAGAUGUUAGGUUAAGUCCUGCAACGAGCGCAACCCUUGUUAUUAGUUGCUACCAUUAAGUUGAGCACUCUAAUGAGACUGCCUGGGUAACCAGGAGGAAGGUGGGGAUGACGUCAAAUCAUCAUGCCCCUUAUGUCCAGGGCUACACACGUGCUACAAUGGUAGGUACAAUAAGACGCAAGACCGUGAGGUGGAGCAAAACUUAUAAAACCUAUCUCAGUUCGGAUUGUAGGCUGCAACUCGCCUACAUGAAGCUGGAGUUGCUAGUAAUCGCGAAUCAGAAUGUCGCGGUGAAUACGUUCCCGGGCCUUGUACACACCGCCCGUCACACCAUGAGAGCUGGUAACACCCGAAGUCCGUGAGGUAACCGUAAGGAACCAGCGGCCGAAGGUGGGAUUAGUGAUUGGGGUGAAGUCGUAACAAGGUAGCCGUAGGAGAACCUGCGGCUGGAUCACCUCC